rnacentral:rRNA from 1 species
AAGCGCUCAUGACCAGACUUGGGCAGGUUGAUCAUCCGUGGUUCUCCGCGGUGCACUCUGCCUGCCCAGGCCAGCAUCAGUUCGCCCCGGGGGAUAAAGGCGGCGGGAAUGUGGCUCUCUUCGGGGAGUGUUAUAGCCCGUCGUGUAAUACCCUGGGGGGGACUGAGGUUCGCGCAUCUGCAAGGAUGCUGGCGUAAUGGUCAUCA